AAUGGGUGAUGAAAAUCCAACUUGAUUAGCACUAUGGUCUAGUAUGAAAAGUGGGCUGAAAAGCUCAUGGGCUGGAUGGCUGUUUCAAAUAGGAAAUAGGGACAGCAGAGAGAUCUUCCUGGAGGUGAUGACAUUGUACAGCAGUCUGGAAUUUUAAAAAAGGAGGUAUCUAGUUAAAACAAACCUAAGAAGCUGGAAGAACUUUUCUGCACAGAGGAAGUCUUAAAUUCACAGUGUAGAUGCUAGAGGCUUGUGGUGCAUAAAGGACCCCCUCUUGGGUGAGGGCUUAGAGACGGGGGAGAGGCGAGCUCAGCAGGGCCUAGAUCAGUAACACCUUGACUAACUUGCUAAGUAAUUUGGACUUUCUUUCUUCAUGCCCAGCAUGGAGCCCAACGUGGGGUUUGAACUCAUGACCCUGAGAUCAAGACCUGAGCUGAGAUCAACAGUCGGAUGCUUAACCGACUGAGCCACCCAGGCGCCCCAUAAGUAAUUUGGAUUUUAUCUUGAAGAAAUAUCCUGGAAGCAUUGAAAUGUUUGAAUGGAGGAGAGACGUAAUCAAAUGCAUGGUUGAUUAGAAAGACGCUCUGGCUCGGCCACAGUGGUUGGUUCUCAAUGGAGGACUAACGAAGUCAGAGGACGCUCCUUAGAAAUACACAAUCUUAUUGCCAGCCGGUGUUCCGACCUGGAAUUGUGACCUAUUCCCAUGGAGAUCUGGAUUUGACCUCCUGUGAGACGGAAGGGGAUUUUGUGAGAGACCGAUCUGGCCUGAGUGGCUUGCGGACUGUUGCCUUCCUUGGAGUAACUGUACUUUGGUUUUCUAAGGGAAGUGGGAUCCCUUAGAAUCCCUCCCCAGUGGGAUGCGUUCCUAGUUCACAAUAAAGUGUCGAGGAGAAAGAGAUUCCUAAGGGUGAACCUCGAGACUCCAAGCCAGGCAGAAAGCCAGAGCCUUUAGAUCAUGGUGUGAACACAGAAAUCUGCUCCUUAGUUGUGCAAGGCGUCUUUGACCCAUCAGAAGACACUUCACAAUCCUUUUCUCAUCUCUGGUCUAGAAUUAAAUGAUUACUGCAGCUCAGGAGCUCCGCACCUGCAUGGCAUUUAAUAAAGUUAUAUAAAGUGG